UACGUAGGUGGCGAGCGUUGUCCGGAUUUACUGGGUGUAAAGGGAGCGUAGGCGGGUAUGCAAGUUGAAUGUGAAAUCUAUCGGCUCAACCGGUAGCUGCGUUCAAAACUGUGUAUCUUGAGUGAAGUAGAGGUAGGCGGAAUUCCUAGUGUAGCGGUGAAAUGCGUAGAUAUUAGGAGGAACACCAGUGGCGAAGGCGGCCUACUGGGCUUUUACUGACGCUGAGGCUCGAAAGCGUGGGUAGCAAACAGGAUUAGAUACCCUGGUAGUCCACGCCGUAAACGAUGAUUACUAGGUGUGGGGGGUCUGACCCCUUCCGUGCCGGAGUUAACACAAUAAGUAAUCCACCUGGGGAGUACGGCCGCAAGGUUGAAACUCAAAGGAAUUGACGGGGGCCCGCACAAGCAGUGGAGUAUGUGGUUUAAUUCGAAGCAACGCGAAGAACCUUACCAGGUCUUGACAUCGAGUGAAGAUACUAGAGAUAGUAUCGUCCUUCGGGACACGAAGACAGGUGGUGCAUGGUU
rnacentral:rRNA from 1 species